rnacentral:rRNA from 1 species
UGAGGAAUAUUGGACAAUGGGUGGAAGCCUGAUCCAGCCAUCCCGCGUGAAGGAUGACGGUCCUAUGGAUUGUAAACUUCUUUUGUACAGGGAUAAACCUGCCCUCGUGAGGGCAGCUGAAGGUACUGUACGAAUAAGCACCGGCUAACUCCGUGCCAGCAGCCGCGGUAAUACGGAGGGUGCGAGCGUUAUCCGGAUUUAUUGGGUUUAAAGGGUCCGUAGGCGGACCUGUAAGUCAGUGGUGAAAUCUCAUAGCUUAACUAUGAAACUGCCAUUGAUACUGCAGGCCUUGAGUAAAUUUGAAGUUGCUGGAAUAAGUAGUGUAGCGGUGAAAUGCAUAGAUAUUACUUAGAACACCGAUUGCGAAGGCAGGUCACUAAGAUUUAACUGACGCUGAUGGACGAAAGCGUGGGGAGCGAACA